rnacentral:rRNA from 1 species
UGGAGAGUUUGAUCCUGGCUCAGAACGAACGCUGGCGGCAUGCCUAACACAUGCAAGUCGAACGAGAUCUUCGGAUCUAGUGGCGCACGGGUGCGUAACGCGUGGGAAUCUGCCUUGGGGUUCGGAAUAACUCCCCGAAAGGGGUGCUAAUACCGGAUGAUGUCGAAAGACCAAAGAUUUAUCGCCCUGAGAUGAGCCCGCGUAGGAUUAGCUAGUUGGUGUGGUAAAGGCGCACCAAGGCGACGAUCCUUAGCUGGUCUGAGAGGAUGAUCAGCCACACUGGGACUGAGACACGGCCCAGACUCCUACGGGAGGCAGCAGUGGGGAAUAUUGGACAAUGGGCGAAAGCCUGAUCCAGCAAUGCCGCGUGAGUGAUGAAGGCCUUAGGGUUGUAAAGCUCUUUUACCCGGGAAGAUAAUGACUGUACCGGGAGAAUAAGCCCCGGCUAACUCCGUGCCAGCAGCCGCGGUA